rfam:Myotis davidii contig12710, whole genome shotgun sequence.
GGUGGUUCCUGUGACGCACCCUGGAAUCGGGCUCCCUCCUCUCUUGUUCCAGAGUGCAUCACCUUAGAACCAUU